UACGUAGGGUCCGAGCGUUGUCCGGAAUUAUUGGGCGUAAAGGGCUCGUAGGUGGCCAACUAAGUCAGACGUGAAAUCCCCUCAGCUUAACUGGGGAACUGCGUCUGAUACUGGAUGGCUUGAGUUUGGGAGAGGGAUGCGGAAUUCCAGGUGUAGCGGUGAAAUGCGUAGAUAUCGGGAGGAACACCAGUGGCGAAGGCGACUACCUGGCCUGUUCUUGACGCUGAGGCGCGAAAGCUAGGGGAGCAAACAGG
rnacentral:rRNA from 1 species